rnacentral:rRNA from 1 species
UAGCCUACGGGAGGCAGCAGUGGGGAAUAUUGCACAAUGGGGGAAACCCUGAUGCAGCAACGCCGCGUGAGUGAAGAAGGUUUUCGGAUUGUAAAGCUCUGUUAGCAGGGAAGAGGAAGGACGGUACCUGCAGAGGAAGCCACGGCUAACUACGUGCCAGCAGCCGCGGUAAUACGUAUGGGGCAAGCGUUAUCCGGAUUUACUGGGUGUAAAGGGAGCGCAGGCGGCCUGGCAAGCCUGAUGUGAAAUACCGGGGCCCAACCCCGGGGCUGCAUUGGGAACUGCCAGGCUGGAGUGCCGGAGAG